CUUAUUGCUAGGCCAAGAUGGUGUGGAGCAAGAUGCCUGGUCACAAUGCAGAGAAGGGAUGGCUUCAAUUUGGGGAAUCCUUGGCCAAGUAGCCUACACAAGGGGAGGCAAGAAAGAUCUUGAGGAUCCCAAGGAACACACUGGGAGAGUCGCUGAUAGAGAGACAGCCAGGCACAAACUAAGUGUGGAGUCCCUGACCCUUUUCAAAGGACAUGGACGGUGUGGGCGAGUGUGGUGACGGCAGCGGCAGGUUCUGCCUGGCUCCCCGUGUGACCUCGGCCAAGUCAUCCAGCCUCUGGAUUCGCUUUGCUCACAUGUAACAUAGAAGACAUCAAUAUCCUUGCCCCAGAACUGCUGCGACAAAUAGCAUCUCAUAAGAGAAUAUUUGGGAAGACACUUUGGAAAUACCAGGAUUGCCAAAUGCUAAGUAAUUUUUGUUUGUGCCACCCUGUUUCAAUUAACUUGAGCCGAGAUGCUAUAGCAGCCAUGGUCCCAGCAGAAAGGGUCCUCUGAUUCGUUAGAUUCGUUGAUACUUUCAGCAGUGUCGUUAGAACUCCUCAUGGGUGUGACCCCCUUAGAGGUUUGUCUGAGCUUCACGUGGCCUCUUGUUGGCUUGUCAUUGUCCACCACACUGAAAGAACUUCCUUUUGAGUGUAGGUGGUGUCUGCCAGGUUUCUCUUGUAUGAAGUCACAAAUUUUCCUUUUAUAAUUAAAGCGCAAUGUGUGGGGAGAUAC